UACGGGGGGGCAAGCGUUGUUCGGAUUCAUUGGGCGUAAAGGGCGCGUAGGCGGCGGGGUAAGUCGGGUGUGAAAUCUCAGAGCUCAACUCUGAAACUGCACUCGAUACUGCUCUGCUUGAGGACUGGAGAGGAGACUGGAAUUCACGGUGUAGCAGUGAAAUGCGUAGAUAUCGUGAGGAAGACCAGUGGCGAAGGCGGGUCUCUGGGCAACAACUGACGCUGAGGAGCGAAAGCGUGGGGAGCGAACAGG
rnacentral:rRNA from 1 species